ensembl:lncRNA
AUGAUUGGUGAUUUUGUCGAGAACUUUAGCCGAAGCCUACAUUUCUGCAGGUAUUGCACCAUUGAGAGAUACUCAUUCCAUGCCACACCUUUAGAACCUGCUAUGAAGCGAACUGUGGAGUCUUACGAGAGAAACAUUCAGGAACUUGCUACCUUAGGCGAUAAUGUAGUUGAUGGAGUCAAAUUUAACUCUCCUUUUAAUCAGCUGAAUUCUUUUCAUGUUUGUCAGCCUGGCUUGCCCCCCUGCCUUGGACAUGACCUCUUUGAGGGUGUUGUGGCGUCUGAUCUUAAGUUGUACAUUGAUUACUUGGUAAAUCAAGAAAAAUUCUUUACUUUCACAGAGCUUAAUUGCUAUAUUAAACAGUUUAAGUACACAGGAAAUGAUGCUGCCAAUAAACCAGCUGAGGUUAACUCGGGGAGUGAGAAGCUUUGUGGUCACGCUGUUCAGAACUGGUGUCUUCUAAGACUUAUACCAGUUAUUGUUGGACACCGAAUUAAGGAUCCAGAAUCAGAAGCGUGGCAGCUCAUUCUACUCCUCAGACAAAUUGUAGAUCUAAUUUGUGCACCAGCAAUACUGGCAGAUCAGGUUGCUUAUCUGAAAGUGCUCAUUGAUGAGUACAUUCAUUUUAGGUAUGUGACUUUCCCUUCUAAGCCUCUCAAGCCUAAACAUCACUACUUGUGCCAUUACCCAGAGCUUAUAAAACAAUUUGGACCACUCAUUCGCUUAUGGACUAUGCGGUUUGAGAGCAAACAUACCUAUUUUAAACAAUGUGCUAGAAAAUUGCACAACUUCAAAAAUGUAUGUGCAACACUUGCAGAAAGGCACCAGCUUCUCCAAGCCUAUUUAAGUGCUGGAAACCUCUUUCAGCUUUCUGUGCAAGUUGAAAAAGGCUCUGAAUUUUAUUCUUGUGAUUUUAACGAAGCGAUCAGGGAAUCAGUUGAUCAUUUUGAUUUUCAGCCAGGCAAUACAUUAGUAGCUACUGAAAUCACUUUGAAAGGAACAAAGUACAGGAAAGGCAUUGUUGUUCUUUUGGCCAGUAAUGAUGAGGGUUUGGAGGUUGGCAGAAUUAAACUAAUUCUUGUUCACCAGAAUUCUGUGGUUUACUUUGUGUCUGAGAAACGGUGUGCUGUGCGGUUGGUGGAUUUGGGUGUAUACUGCAUUACAGAUGAGGACCCAAGACAUGUCUGUGUACUUCAAGAGGAUCUAUUAGAUUAUUAUCCUCUCCAGGAGUAUAACAUAUGUGGCUUGUCUGUGAUUGUGUUACACCACUCUUUUCCAUCUUUUUAG